rnacentral:rRNA from 1 species
GAUGAACGCUAGCGGCAGGCCUAACACAUGCAAGUCGAGGGGCAGCACGUCUUCGGAUGGUGGCGACCGGCGCACGGGUGCGUAACGCGUAUGCAACCUACCUCUUACAGUGGGAUAGCCCAGAGAAAUUUGGAUUAAUACCGCAUAGUAUACAGAUUCAGCAUUGGGACUGUAUUAAACAUUUAUGGGUAAGAGAUGGGCAUGCGUUCUAUUAGUUAGUUGGAGUGGUAACGGCACCCCAAGACAGCGAUAGAUAGGGCCCGUGAGAGGGGAGUCCCCCACACUGGUACUGAGACACGGACCGAGACUCCUACGGGAGGCAGCAGUGAGGAAUAUUGGACAAUGGGCGAGAGCCUGAUCCAGCACUGCCGCGUGCAGAAGACGCCCGUAUGGGUUGUAAACUGC